CGAAGUAUAGCAUACAUAUAAUGCUUUUUACUUACACUAAAAAUAAAACGGUUAGUUUACUUCGCAU
rnacentral:tRNA from 1 species